rnacentral:rRNA from 1 species
UACGUAGGGGGCUAGCGUUGUCCGGAUUUAUUGGGCGUAAAGAGCGUGUAGGCGGCCAGGUAGGUCUGCUGUGAAAACUCGAGGCUCAACCUCGAGACGUCGGCGGAAACCAUCUGGCUAGAGUCCGGAAGAGGAGAGUGGAAUUCCUGGUGUAGCGGUGAAAUGCGCAGAUAUCAGGAGAACACCCGGUGGCGAAAGCGGGCUC